ACAGUGGACGCGAGCAUCUUUGUUGUAAGUGUUUAAGAGCGUACGGUGGAUGCCUUGGCACCAGGAGCCGAUGAAGGACGUAGGAGGCUGCGAUAAGCCUCGGGGAGCUGUCAACCGAGCUGAGAUCCGAGGAUGUCCGAAUGGGGAAACCCAGCCACAGUGAUGUGUGGUUACCCGCGCCUGAAUAUAUAGGGCGUGUGGAGGGAACGUGGGGAAGUGAAACAUCUCAGUACCCACAGGAAGAGAAAACAACAUGUGAUUCCGUGAGUAGUGGCGAGCGAAAGCGGAAGAGGCUAAACCAUGGGUGUGUGAUAGCCGGCGGGCGUUGCAUUCGUGGGGUUGUGGGAUCCGUCUUGUCAAUUCUGCCGGAUUGGCCGACAGUGAGAAAUCAUCGUGUUAGUCGAAGUGGUCUGGAACGGCCUGUCGUAGAGGGUGAGAGUCCCGUAGACGAAAACAUGGUGACUGUCGUGACGGACACCCGAGUAGCAGCGGGCCCGUGAAAUCUGCUGUGAAUCUGUCGGGACCACCCGAUAAGCCUGAAUACUCCCUGGUGACCGAUAGCGGACUAGUACCGUGAGGGAAAGGUGAAAAGUACCCCGGGAGGGGAGUGAAAUAGUACCUGAAACCGUGCGCUUACAAUCCGUCAGAGCCUGCGCCACUUUUGGUGGGUGGGUGAUGGCGUGCCUUUUGAAGAAUGAGCCUGCGAGUUAGCGGCAUGUCGCGAGGUUAACCCGUGUGGGGUAGCCGUAGCGAAAGCGAGUCCGAAUAGGGCGUUUGUAGUGGCAUGUUCUAGACCCGAAGCGGAGUGAUCUACCCAUGGCCAGGGUGAAGCGACGGUAAGACGUCGUGGAGGCCCGAACCCACUUAGGUUGAAAACUGAGGGGAUGAGCUGUGGGUAGGGGUGAAAGGCCAAUCAAACUCCGUGAUAGCUGGUUCUCCCCGAAAUGCAUUUAGGUGCAGCGUCGCGUGUUUCACUCUGGAGGUAGAGCUACUGGAUGGCCGAUGGGCCCCACAAGGUUACUGACGUCAGCCAAACUCCGAAUGCCAGAGUGUGAGAGCGCGGCAGUGAGACUGCGGGGGAUAAGCUUCGUAGUCGAGAGGGAAACAGCCCAGAUCGCCGGCUAAGGCCCCUAAGCGUGUACUAAGUGGAAAAGGAUGUGGGGUCGCGAAGACAACCAGGAGGUUGGCUUAGAAGCAGCCACCCUUGAAAGAGUGCGUAAUAGCUCACUGGUCAAGUGAUCCUGCGCCGACAAUGUAGCGGGGCUCAAGUACACCGCCGAAGCCGCGGCAUUCACAUAACACCCAUGCGGGUCUACGGGCCUGUGUGCAGUGGUGUGGAUGGGUAGGGGAGCGUCGUGCAGCCAUGGAAGCGCCGGAGUGAUCCAGGUGUGGAGGCUGCACGAGUGAGAAUGCAGGCAUGAGUAGCGAAAGACGAGUGAGAAACUCGUCCGCCGAAUGACCAAGGGUUCCUGGGCCAGGUUAAUCCGCCCAGGGUGAGUCGGGACCUAAGGCGAGGCCGACAGGCGUAGUCGAUGGACAACGGGUUGAUAUUCCCGUACCCGUGUGAACGCGCCCCUGGUGAAUCAGUGAUGCUAAGCGCCCUGAAGCCGCCUUCGAACCUUCGGGUUCUCCGGUGUGUGGAUGCGCGUGAACCGAUCUGGUAGUAGCCAAGCGAUGGGGUGACGCAGGAAGGUAGCUGAGCCAGUCAGUGGUAAUACUGGUGUAAGCGUGUAGGGCGUGACCUAGGCAAAUCCGGGUCACACACAGCCUGAGACGUGAUGCGUAGCCGAUUGAGGCGAAUUCAGUGAUCCUAUGCUGCCGAGAAAAGCCUCUAGCGAGCUUUCACACGGCCCGUACCCCAAACCGACACAGGUGGUCAGGUAGAGAAUACUAAGGCGAUCGAGAUAACUGUGGUUAAGGAACUCGGCAAAAUGCCCCCGUAACUUCGGGAGAAGGGGGGCCUCGUCUGGUGACGGAACUUGCUUCCUGAGCUGGGUGGGGCCGCAGAGACCAGAGAGAAGCGACUGUUUACUAAAAACACAGGUCCGUGCGAAGUCGUAAGACGAUGUAUACGGACUGACGCCUGCCCGGUGCUGGAAGGUUAAGAGGACCGGUUAGCCAGUAAUGGCGAAGCUGAGAAUUUAAGCCCCAGUAAACGGCGGUGGUAACUAUAACCAUCCUAAGGUAGCGAAAUUCCUUGUCGGGUAAGUUCCGACCUGCACGAAUGGCGUAACGACUUCUCUGCUGUCUCAACCACAGACUCGGCGAAAUUGCAUUACGAGUAAAGAUGCUCGUUACGCGCGGCAGGACGAAAGACCCGGGACCUUCACUAUAGCUUGGUAUUGGUGUUCGGUUCGGUUUGUGUAGGAUAGGUGGGAGACUGUGAAGCGGGCACGCCAGUGUUCGUGGAGUCGUUGUUGAAAUACCACUCUGAUCGUAUUGGACAUCUAACCUCGGACCAUGAUCUGGUUCAGGGACAGUGCCUGGUGGGUAGUUUAACUGGGGCGGUUGCCUCCCACAAAUGUAACGGAGGCGCCAAAGGUUCCCUCAGCCUGGUUGGCAAUCAGGUGUCGAGUGCAAGUGCACCCAGGGAGCUUGACUGUGAGACUGACAGGUCGAGCAGGGACGAAAGUCGGGACUAGUGAUCCGGCACCGGCAAGUGGAAGCGGUGUCGCUCAACGGAUAAAAGGUACCCCGGGGAUAACAGGCUGAUCUUCCCCAAGAGUCCAUAUCGACGGGAUGGUUUGGCACCUCGAUGUCGGCUCGUCGCAUCCUGGGGCUGGAGUAGUAUCCCAAGGGUUGGGCUGUUCGCCCAUUAAAGCGGCACGCGAGCUGGGUUUAGAACGUCGUGAGACAGUUCGGUCUCUAUCCGCCCGCGCGCGUUAGAAACUUGAGGAAGGCUGUCCCUAGUACGAGAGGACCGGGACGGACGAACCUCUGGUGUGCCAGUUGUUCCGCAGGAGCACUGCUGGUUAGCUACGUUCGGAAGGGAUAACCGCUGAAAGCAUCUAAGCGGGGAAGCCUGUUCCAAGAUGAGGUUUCUCACCCCCUCGAGGGGGUAAGGCC
rnacentral:rRNA from 1 species